CGUUCCGGUGUAUCGCGAGAUCCUUAAAGAACCAGGGCAAGAACCUUCCAACCUCCCCCCCUUCCCCCCGAUUUCCCUUUGUCACCUGAUCAGGUGAUGGGCUCGCAUCGGGGGGCCGGAAGGCUGUACGUUCACGCCACAACCCAAAAAUUGAACGGCCCCCGACGGGACUGCCAUCCCAUGUGUCGAGGGCCUAUCAAGAGGAAGCGAUCCCUUCCCC
rnacentral:ncRNA from 1 species